AGCGUUAUCCGGAAUUAUUGGGCGUAAAGAGCUCGUAGGCGGUUUGUCGCGUCUGCUGUGAAAUCCCGAGGCUCAACCUCGGGCCUGCAGUGGGUACGGGCAGACUAGAGUGCGGUAGGGGAGAUUGGAAUUCCUGGUGUAGCGGUGGAAUGCGCAGAUAUCAGGAGGAACACCGAUGGCGAAGGCAGAUCUCUGGGCCGUAACUGACGCUGAGGAGCGAAAGGGUGGGGAGCAAACAGGCUUAGAUACCCUGGUAGUCCACCCCGUAAACGUUGGGAACUAGUUGUGGGGUCCUUUCCACGGAUUCCGUGACGCAGCUAACGCAUUAAGUUCCCCGCCUGGGGAGUACGGCCGCAAGGCUAAAACUCAAAGGAAUUGACGGGGACCCGCACAAGCGGCGGAGCAUGCGGAUUAAUUCGAUGCAACGCGAAGAACCUUACCAAGGCUUGACAUACACGAGAACGGGCCAGAAAUGGUCAACUCUUUGGACACUCGUGAACAGGUGGUGCAUGGUUGUCGUCAGCUCGUGUCGUGAGAUGUUGGGUUAAGUCCCGCAACGAGCGCAACCCUCGUUCUAUGUUGCCAGCACGUUAUGGUGGGAACUCAUGGGAUACUGCCGGGGUCAACUCGGAGGAAGGUGGGGAUGACGUCAAAUCAUCAUGCCCCUUAUGUCUUGGGCUUCACGCAUGCUACAAUGGCCGGUACAAAGGGCUGCAAUACCGUGAGGUGGAGCGAAUCCCAAAAAGCCGGUCCCAGUUCGGAUUGAGGUCUGCAACUCGACCUCAUGAAGUCGGAGUCGCUAGUAAUCGCAGAUCAGCAACGCUGCGGUGAAUACGUUCCCGGGUCUUGUACACACCGCCCGUCAAGUCAUGAAAGUCGGUAACACCUGAAGCCGGUGGCCUAACCCUUGUGGAGGGAGCCGUCGAAGGUGGGAUCGGUAAUUAGGACUAAGUCGUAACAAGAGCACCAUGGC
rnacentral:rRNA from 1 species